GGUGAAGUCGUAACAAGGUAGUCGUACUGGAAAGUGCGGCUGGAUCACCUCCUUU
rnacentral:rRNA from 1 species